rnacentral:rRNA from 1 species
AAUAUUUGACAAUGGGGGCAACCCUGCUCCAGCCAUGCCGCGUGCGUGAAGAAGGUCUUCGGAUUNUAAAGCACUUUAAUUUGGGANGAAGGGCUUUAGGCUAAUACCCUGAAGUUUUGACGUUACCAACAGAAUAAGCACCGGCUAACUCCGUGCCAGCAGCCGCGGUAAUACAGAGGGUGCAAGCGUUAAACGGAACUACUGGGCGUAAAGCGCGCGUAGGUGGUUCAGUAAGAUUGGUGUGAAAUCCCCGGGCUUAACCGGGGAACUGCUUUCAUAACUGCUGAGCUAGAGUACGGUAGAGGGUAGUGGAAUUUCCUGUGUAGCGGUGAAAUGCGUAGAUAUAGGAAGGAACACCAGUGGCGAAGGCGACUACCUGGACUGAUACUGACACUGAGGUGCGAAAGCGUGGGGAGCAAACA